UACGGAGGGUGCAAGCGUUGUCCGGAAUCAUUGGGCGUAAAGCGCACGUAGGCGGCUCUUUAAGUCUCUUGGUGAAAGGCUGGGGCUCAACCCCAUGCAUGCCGGGGAUACUGGGGAGCUGGAGACAGGUAGAGGCCAGCGGAAUUCCGGGUGUAGCGGUGGAAUGCGUAGAGAUCCGGAAGAACACCGGAGGCGAAGGCGGCCUGCUGGGCAGUAGCUGACGCUGAGGCGCGACAGCGUGGGGAGCAAACAGG
rnacentral:rRNA from 1 species